rnacentral:rRNA from 1 species
UACAGAGACUGCAAGCGUUAUUCGGAUUCACUGGGCGUAAAGGGUGCGUAGGCGGCGGGGAAAGUCAGAUGUGAAAUCCGGAGGCUCAACCUCCGAAAUGCAUCCGAUACUCCCUCGCUAGAGAUUUGUAGAGGAGUCUGGAAUUCUCGGUGUAGCAGUGAAAUGCGUAGAUAUCGAGAGGAACACCAGUGGCGAAGGCGAGUCCCUGGACAACUCCUGACACUGAGGCACGAAAGCUAGGGGAGCAAACAGG